AAAAGAUGGUUCUGCUAUCACUCUUGGAUGGACCUGCGGUGCAUUAGCUAGUUGGUAAGGUAACGGCUCACCAAGGCAAUGAUGCAUAGCCGAGUUGAGAGACUGAUCGGCCACAUUGGGACUGAGACACGGCCCAAACUCCUACGGGAGGCAGCAGUAGGGAAUCUUCCACAAUGGACGCAAGUCUGAUGGAGCAACGCCGCGUGAGUGAAGAAGGGUUUCGGCUCGUAAAGCUCUGUUGGUAGUGAAGAAAGAUAGAGGUAGCAACUGGCCUUUAUUUGACGGUAAUUACCUAGAAAGUCACGGCUAACUACGUGCCAGCAGCCGCGGUAAUACGUAGGUGGCAAGCGUUGUCCGGAUUUAUUGGGCGUAAAGCGAGUGCAGGCGGUUCAAUAAGUCUGAUGUGAAAGCCUUCGGCUCAACCGGAGAAUUGCAUCAGAAACUGUUGAACUUGAGUGCAGAAGAGGAGAGUGGAACUCCAUGUGUAGCGGUGGAAUGCGUAGAUAUAUGGAAGAACACCAGUGGCGAAGGCGGCUCUCUGGUCUGCAACUGACGCUGAGGCUCGAAAGCAUGGGUAGCGAACAGGAUUAGAUACCCUGGUAGUCCAUGCCGUAAACGAUGAGUGCUAAGUGUUGGGAGGUUUCCGCCUCUCA
rnacentral:rRNA from 1 species